rnacentral:rRNA from 1 species
UUUGAAACGUGAGCGCUAGCUUACGUGGAGGCGCUGGUGGGAUACUACCCUAGCUGUGUUGGCUUUCUAACCCGCACCACUUAUCGUGGUGGGAGACAGUGUCAAGCGGGCAGUUUGACUGGGGCGGGCGCCUCCUAAAAGGUAACGGAGGCGCUCAAAGGUUCCCUCAGAAUGGUUGGAAAUCAUUCAUAGAGUGUAAAGGCAUAAGGGAGCUUGACUGCGAGACCUACAA